rnacentral:ribozyme from 16 species
CACGCCUGAACACAAAAUAAAAAAUAAAAAAAUAGACAGGUAGAUUGGAAGAAUAUUCGCCGAGCUGAAGUACGUAGUGCUUCUGCCAGUUUAUCCAAUUCAGUUUAUCGGCGUCUCCAUUUU